rnacentral:lncRNA from 1 species
CCAAGUGAACUACCUACGAGCCGCCAUCACCACCAUGUCACAGCCUCAUUUCCUCCUAGUGGCCUCCCCUGCACAAGGCCACAUAAACCCAACCUUGCAAUUUGCCAAGCAUCUUAUACGUAUUGGCGUACGUGUAACUUUCAUCACCUGCAUCUCCGCUCGCAGCCGCAUGACCAAAGUCCCCACUGCUCAAGGCCUAACGUUUUUACCCUUUUCCGAUGGCUACGACGACGGUUUUCAACUCCGCGAUGACAUCGACCAUUACCUAUCUGAAUUGAGGCGACGAGGCAAAGAAGCUAUCUCCGAGUUUUUAACAAGCAGUGAAAACGAAGGCAAACCCGUCACUUGCAUUGUCUACAGCCCGUUCAACCAUUGGGCCACGGAGGUGGCGCGUAAACAUCACAUCCCGACAACUUUACUUUGGAUUCAACCCGCCACCGUUUUUGACAUCUAUUAUUUUUACUUCAACGGAUACGAAUCCACCAUUAAAGCUCAAGCUGAUGAAACAAACCCCAAGCGUGCAAUAAAAUUACCAGGUCUGCCGCUACUCGCUACCCGCGACCUUCCGUCGUUCGUAACCGCUUCAAACGUUUACCGUUGGGGACCGUCGUUGAUCCAAGAACAAAUGGACAUCCUCGCUGAUGAAUCCAACCCCAAAAUCCUUGUUAACACCUUCGAUGCUUUGGAACAAGAAGCAUUAAACGCCAUUGAAAAUUUCAACAUGAUCGGCAUCGGACCUUUAAUCCCAUCUUCUUUCUUGAACUCAAGUGACUCCUUGGAUAAUUCCUUGAGAACCGAUCUUUUUCAACCCGAUUCAAAAGAUUACCUCCAAUGGUUAGACUCCAAACCAAAAUCGGCCGUCGUUUACGUUUCCUUCGGGAGCAUUACGGUGUUAACGAAGCAACAAGUGGAGGAAAUCGCUCGAGCUUUAAUAUCCAGCCGGCGACCUUUUUUAUGGGUGGUGAGGAACCGGAAAGAUGGAGGCGAAGAAGAGAAAGAAGAAGAUAAACUGACUUGCAGGGAAGAAUUGGAACAGUAUGGGAGGGUGGUUCCAUGGUGUUCGCAAGUGGAAGUAUUGUCUCAUCCGUCGUUGGGUUGCUUCGUGACGCAUUGUGGGUGGAACUCGACGUUGGAGAGCAUGGUGGCCGGUGUACCGGUGGUGGCUUUCCCUCAAUGGACGGAUCAAGGGACUAAUGCGAAGCUGAUUGAAGAUGUGUGGGGGAAUGGGGUGAGAGUGAGUGCUAAUGAAGAAGGGAUGGUGGAACGUGAUGAGAUCGUUAGGUGCUUGGAUUUGGUGAUGGGGGAUGAUGAGAAAGGGAUGGAAGUGAAGAAAAACGUAGAGAAAUGGAAAGGGUUAGCCAGGGAAGCCUCCAUGGAAGGCGGCUCCAUGGAUAUGAAGCUUAAAGCUUUUGUGGAUGAUGUUGCUCAAGGUGGUUGUAAGUAAAUUUAUCAUUUUCAAAUAAAUUCACUGUUAUAAUAGCAGCUAUAAAGAUUGUAACUUCUUUAAUUUCUAAGUUUAUUUCUUUUUUUUUUUCCAUAUCUUUUAAAAAAUAUAUGUAAGAUUGAAAGGCCCAAACAAAAACUCCUGUUUUAAGGACCCAAGAAGAGCUGGUCUGUUUAGGCUGUGCUAUUUAUUACUUUUUAGAUGAGUUUUUGCAUGUAAAAGUAUUUUUUUUGAAAAAUAAUAAAGAAUAGACAUCAUUUCAGAAAUAUUUUUAACUUAAAAAAAUACUUUUUGGCAGAUGGAGAAAUUAAAAAUUUUAACUUUUCCGUCUGCCAAAAGUGCUUUUGACUUCUAUUUACAUUUUUAACCUUUUUCUUCUCCCAAAAUUUUUAGUAUUUAUAUUUGGUAUAUAAAUGUUAUCCAUUUUUAAAUCUUUAAUCUAAAUAUAUGUAAUAUUUUAAUUUGUUAGGUUUAUAUUUUCUAUGUUACGUUAAUAUCUAAUAAGAGUUAUAUAUUAAAAUACAUUUUAAAAUAAAAUAAUACAAAUGUGUUAAAAGCAUUAAUUAAAAAUAAAAAAUAAAUUUUAAAAUAAUACAAUUGUGUCAGUAUCUAAUUACAAAUAUUUAAUUAUUAUAUUUAAAUAUAGUUUAUAUAUUCUAAUUAAAUUUAAUAAAUAAUUAAUAUUAAUUACUUAGAAAAAUUUAAAAAUAAUAUUAUAUAUUAAAAUAUUAACAAUAAGUUAUAAUAAAUUAUUUUUAUAAUUUUGCUAAAAUAUCAUAAUAUUAACUAAUUUGAACAUUAUUUAAAUACAUAUUUGUUACUUUAUAAUAUCAUGUCUAAAAUGGACAUUUUAUUUCUCAAAAGCACUUUUUGACAGCAAUAUCAAACACUCAAAUUUUUCGAAAGCAUUUUUUAAAAGUACUUUUCCACAACACUUUUCAAAAAUACUUUUCAAAAGCAAUGAAGAACUGACCCUUAGUCUUUGUGCCCCAUCUAUCCAUCUCAAUCUCAAUCAAUGCUUUCCUUUCUUGCCUCAAGCACUCACUCGUUUCAUGACCUAUCCUAGUCUUCCCUUUCUUAACUUCAUGAUCUCAAAAAAAAAAAAAAACCCCAAAGUUUGAAUUCCGUCUAUGAACUUCCUAAGCAGAAUCAGGAUAUUUGAUUAAACAUGGAUGCUUCCAUUAUCAUAUGGAUUAAGGGUGCCAGUCAGUCUUAUUACGCCCCUAAUCCAACUUUCACCAUUCGAUAUAUGAUUAUAACCUAUACAACAACAGUCAAAUGUGUUGUUGUCGUACCUCUGUCCCUUCAAAAUUAUCUUUACUGUUGCUAUUCAUGUCUUCAUUUGAAUUGAUUUGUUUAUGGUUAUAUAUUGCCGAAUUUGAUUUGUAUAUGGAUAUACAUUGCUGAAUUAAUUUAUAUAUUGUUAUACAUUACCAAAUUUGAUUUGUAUAUAGAUAUACAUUGACAAAUUUGAUUCGUAUAUGGAUAUAUAUCGCCGAAUUGAUUUGAGCUUUGGAUUACUAGUUUUGUGCAUGAAUUGAUUUAAUUACGAAGUCGAAAGCUCCGAAUGAACCUUAGUAAAUGUAUUGGAUAUUGAUGUCAUGAUAUUAGGACUUUCAGGGUGUAAUUUCGCGUAAGACCAUGUCUGGGAUAUUGGCAUCGAAGUAAGAAAACGUGUAAGACCAUGUCUGGGACAGUGGAAUUGAUAUGUGUUAACAUAUAAGACCAUAUCCGAGAUAUUGUAUUGUACGAGUUUUAUAUGAUUUUCGUAUGAUCUUAACUAUUUCGAAUGUGAAUUUGAGUUGAAUGGUUCAGGUAUGUGUGAAGUUAUAUGUUCAUGCAAUAUUAAGGUAAGUUUAGCACUUAAUGUGAUAAUAUGCAAUUAUAUGAGUUAGUUAAAUGUUUAUGUGUUUGAGAUUUAUUUGAAUUCAACCUAGUUGAAUUGAAUUAUAAAUAUCAUUGAGAUGAUUGAGUAAGAGGUUAGUACGAGAUGAUACAGGUACAUACAGAACCUAUUCGAGUAUUUAAUAGAGAAAGAUAAUGAAAUGGUAUUUGAUCAUGUUUUAAGACAUUGAGAAAGGUUUGUUGUAAUUGUAUAUAUGGUGAUGUUAUGUACAAUUAGUUGAAUUGUAUGUAUUUGAUGUAUUGAAUUAUUCAUUUACGAACUUACUAAGCUAUGAAGCUUACUUCGUGUUAUUUUCUUAUGUUUUAUAGAGAAUCAAGGCUAGCUCGGAUCCAAAAGUCGUCGGGAACAUCAUCGCGCUAUCGAACAUCUAAGUUGGUACUUUUGAAUUGUAUAUAUAUGAUAUAUGAGAUGUAUAGGCUAGUGUCAUUUUGGUAUGUUUUGAGUUAUGAUAUUAGCCAUGAGAUUUGGCUUUUAAAGGUUGGUGUGUAUUUGGCCAUAUGAAUUGGUUGUUUAAGUGUUGAGAAAAUGCAUAUUUGAACCUAAGAUGAAUUGAUGGUUAUAGUAAGUUAAAUUGACAUAUUUUUGAGUUAAUUUGGUACUAAAAUUGAAAUGAAAUGAACGAAGUUUAUUAGUUAACUUUUAUAUAGUAUUAUGAAUGUUGUUGAUCAAUUUGAUAAGUAAAUGUUUUAGGCAUGAUUUAAAUAUGUUUAAAUGUGAAAAUGUGUUGGUUUCCAUAUUGAUUGUAAAUUGGUUGCAGUUGAAAUUGCAGGGAAUGUUAGAUAUUUAUAAAGAAGUUAUAUUGAGUUCGCAAAAAGAAAAAUUCUCCGAGUUUCCGAAUUAGUCCCGAAUCAUUCUUAACUCGUAUUAUGGACCUUGAGGGUUUAUCUAAGGGACUUUAAGAUUAUUUUAUAUUAUAUUUGAUAAUUAUUUGUAUAUUAAUUGUAAAUUGUCCGAUAGGUCUAGUAAUGCUCCAUAAUCCUAUUCCGGUGACGAACAUGGGUUAGGGGUGUUAUAAUAAGCAAUUUUUGGUGAAAGUUAUAGUGAAAGUUAUCAUAUUGAUGGUUAGGUGUGAUUGACCAUAGAGUUAUAAUUAUUAUAGUACAAAGAAAAGUUAACUGAGUUGAUUAGGGUGUGAGGUGAAUAAAUUAACUCUUCGAAAUUUUAAUAGCAGGAACGGAAGAAUAUUUAAAAAAAAAUUAAUUUGUUAUUUGAUUUAACAUAUAGAGACUGAUUUAUCUAUUUUUUAGUAUAGCUAGAGGAUAAAAUGCAAUCUGACAUCUAAUACAAUGACCUCAAUAAUACUUUUACCUACAGUUGCUAAAUUUAUAACUAUAAUCGUAAAUUUUCAGUUUUGGUUCUUCUAUUAUGGUUACGUUUAAGAUUUAAUUUUUUAAAGUAAGAUUUAAUCUUUAUAAUUAAAUUUGGCAUAAUUUGAUUGUCUAUUUUUACAAUGAUAUUAGGUAGUCGAAAUAAUUAACAUAUUUUUUAACUAUUCUAAUUAAGUUUUUAAUUUUUUUAAAAAUACUAUUCUAUAAAAAAAUUACUUUUACAUAAUGAAUCAGAAUAAAUGUUAUUAAAAAUAUUCACAUCUACUACAAAAAAUAUUAAGGGUGCUAAUUAUUUGAGUUAACUAAUGAUACGACCUUUUUUUCCCGACAUUAUAAGAUAAUGAUAAAAUUAUAGUUUUUAUAUCUCUAUUAUGCUCACAUUUGAGAUUUAAUAUUUAUAUUUUAAAUUAACAUCGUUUGAUCCUCUACUUUUAUAAUGAUAUUAGUUAUCCUAAAUAAUUAAUAUUUUUAACUAUAUCGAUUAAAAUGAUUACAUGAAUUUCUCUUAAAAACACCUUUCAAUACAAUAUAUAUAUUUCUACAUGAAGUUCGAAUGGGUAUUUUUAAGGAAAAUAUUGAUCUCGACAUUUUGACCACGAUAAUUAAAGGUAUCAACUAUUUCAACUAACUAAUAGUAUUAUGUAGAGGGACCAAAUUAUAUAAAAUUAAAGAAUAGAUAUUAAAUUCUAUAUUUAAACAUAGUAGAGAGACCAUAACCAUAAUUUAAUCUAAAACAAAUUAUCUCUAACAUAAUAUAAAUAUAUUAACUAUAAAAAAUUUAAAUUUUAUUCUACCCCUAAAAAAUUAUUCUGACUUUACCUUACCUGCUACAAUUUUUAGACCUUACAUAAGAUUGUUUUCUUAAAUAGUGCAUAUUAUAAUAUAUAUUUGGUUUUGCAAUUGUUUUUAACUUCGGCUUUUAAUUUGUCACAAAUAAAAUUUUUGACUUUAUUAAUAAUAAUAAUAAUAAUAAUGGAUAAUUUAAAAUAAAAUAUAUUUAUAUUUUAAUUUAUUGUAUUGGAAUUAAUGAGAGAAAAUUUAUGGUCCUUAUAGCGCAAGAAUGUGUGUGACAACGUGUUGAAUGUUUAUCCACACAAAAUCCAAAAGGAUUCAAGGAUCUUCAACUUCGUCAGUGCCUCUCAUCACUUCUAAAAACACUUUGCUUUCCUUUCUUACUUACUCCAAAUCCGACGUUCGUAGAAAAAGACCAAGUUAACUACCUACGUGCCGCCGUCACCAUCAUGUCACAGCCUCAUUUCCUCCUGGUGACCUACCCUGCACAAGGCCACAUAAACCCAACCUUACAAUUUGCCAGGCAUCUUAUACGUAUUGGCGUACGUGUAACUUUCAUCACCUGCAUCUCCGCUCGCCGCCGCAUGACCAAAGUCCCCACUGCUCAAGGCCUAACGUUUUUACCCUUUUCCGAUGGCUACGACGACGGUUUUCAACCCGGCGAUGACGUGGACCAUUACCGAUCUGAAUUUACGCGACGAGGCAAAGAAGCCAUCUCCGAGUUUAUAACAAGCGGUGAAAACGAAGGCAAACCCGUCACUUGCAUUGUCUACACCCUGUUCAUCCAUUGGGCCACGGAGGUGGCGCGUAAACAUCACAUCCCGACAGCUUUACUUUGGAUUCAACCCGCCUCCGUUUUUGACAUCUAUUAUUUUUACUUCAACGGAUACGAAUCCACCAUUAAAGCUCAAGCUGAAGAAACAAACCCCGAGCGUUCAAUCAAAUUACCAGGUCUGCUGCUACUCGCCACCCGCGACCUUCCGUCUUUCUUCACCGCUUCAAACGUUUACCGUUGGGCACUGUCGUUGUUCCAAGAACACAUGGACGUCCUCGCCGAUGAAUCCAACCCUAAAAUCCUUGUUAACACCUUCGAUGCUUUGGAACACGAAGCAUUAAACGCCAUUGAAAAUUUCAACAUGGUCGGCAUCGGACCUUUAAUCCCAUCUUCUUUCUUGAACUCAAGUGACUCCUUGGAUAAUUCCUUGAGAACCGAUCUUUUUCAACCCGAUUCAAAAGAUUACCUCCAAUGGUUAGACUCCAAACCAAAAUCGGCCGUCGUUUACGUUUCCUUCGGGAGCAUUACGGUGUUAACGAAGCAACAAGUGGAGGAAAUCGCUCGAGCUUUAAUAUCCAGCCGGCGACCUUUUUUAUGGGUGGUGAGGAACCGGAAAGAUGGAGGCGAAGAAGAGAAAGAAGAAGAUAAACUGACUUGCAGGGAAGAAUUGGAACAGUUUGGGAGGGUGGUUCCAUGGUGUUCGCAAGUGGAAGUAUUGUCUCAUCCGUCGUUGGGUUGCUUCGUGACGCAUUGUGGGUGGAACUCGACGUUGGAGAGCAUGGUGGCCGGUGUACCAGUGGUGGCUUUCCCUCAAUGGUCGGAUCAAGGGACUACUGCGAAGCUGAUUGAAGAUGUGUGGGGGAAUGGGGUGAGAGUGAGUGCUAAUGAAGAAGGGAUGGUGGAACGUGAUGAGAUCGUUAGGUGCUUGGAUUUGGUGAUGGGGGAUGAUGAGAAAGGGAUGGAAGUGAAGAAAAAUGUAGAGAAAUGGAAAGGGUUAGCCAGGGAAGCCUCCAUGGAAGGCGGCUCCAUGGAUAUGAACCUUAAAGCUUUUGUGGAUGAUGUUGCUCAAGGUGGUUGCAAGUAAAUUUAUCAUUUUCAAAUCAAUUCACUGUUAUAAUAGCAGCUAUAAAUAUUGUAACUUCUUUAAUUUCUAAGUUUAUUUCUUUUUCUUUUCCAUCAUCUUUUGUAAAAAAAAAAAUGUAAGAUUGAAAAGCCGAAACAAAAACUCCUCUUUUAAGGACCCAAGAGGAGCUGGUCUGUGUAGUCUUUGAGCCCCACCUGUCAAUCUCAAUCUCAAUCAAUGCUUUCCUUUCUUGCCUCAAGCACUCACUCGUUUCAUGUCCCAUCCUCGUUUUCCCUUCAUUAAUAUCACUCCACCUUCUAACUUAAUAAUUGAUACAUGAUCUCAAAAAAAAAAGAAAAAAAAAAAACCCAAAGUUUGAAUUCGGUCUAUGAGCUUCCUAAACAAAAUCAGGAUAUGUGAUUAAGCAUGGAUGCUUCCAUUAUCAUAUGGAUUAAGGGUGCCAGUCGGGCUUAUUACGCCCCUCAUCCAACUUUCACCAUUCGAUAUAUGAUUAUAACCUAACCAACAACAGUCAAAUGUGUUGUUGUCGUACCUCUAUCCCUUCAAAAAUCUCUUUACUGUUGCUACCCAUGUCUUCUUUGAUAUAUAUGCAUAUUUUUAACCUUACUGAGCUGUGGACUUCAUUUGACGUGUAACCAAGUUUUUGCUUUCUUUUCUUUCUUCUUCUUAUGUUUCCUGAAUUUAUAAAUUUUUUUCCAUUGGCUUCUAUUUAUGUUUUUUCAAAGAUUAAUAAUUGAAUUUAAUUAAAAAUAAUUAAAUUGGUAAAAUAUAUAAAUGUUGAGGACAAAAUUCAGUAUUAUCCCUUUUAAUACCUUUCAUCGUACUAGAUCAGGUAUUAUCGUACCAUGAAACUUGAAUAAGGGUGGGUUUGGAUGGGCGAUUGGGUGCGGUGCGGUGCGUUUAGCCUACUUUUUGUCUCACACUACAGUAUUGCUACAGUGGUAAACGCACCGCCCAUCCAAACUCACCCUAAGCCACCACACAAGUUUAUGCGCAUGUGGUUUUUUCUGGUUUAAUUCUGCUUCUAGUCCUUAUACUUUUUGAAAGUGAUGGAUUUAGUCCCAAUACUUCAAUUUGAUCACUUUUAGUCCUGAACUUUUCAAAAUGUUCAAUUUUAGUCCCUAUAUUUUUAGUCUUUUGAAAUUUUUGUCCUAAACCAAAUAAUAGUAGUUAAAUUUGUUUGUUUAAAUUCAAUUACUAGCAUGUAAUUGUAGAUUUAAUAUAUAUUAUCCAUUUUCUUUGCAAAGUCUGUGAAAAACAAAAAGGAUUGUUGAGAACAAUCCAAACACUAUCAAACACAGUUUAAAAAAAAAUAAAACAGAACAGCCUAACAAAUACUACUAAGCAGACAAAAACACUUUAACAACAGAUUUCCCCGUUGUAUUCUGCUGCAGAAAAUAGCAGACCAUCCCAGCAUCAUCCAUUCUGCUUCAGCAGCAAAUCACCAAGCAGCUUUAAAGAAGUUUUUCCUUGACAUGCCUGCCUUUGCUAAAGUUUCCGCCAUUCCACUCUUUUUUUGAUUAGUGAUUGCAAACUGGAUUUCGGCAAUAUGUCUACAUUCAUCUUCAAUUUCCGCAAACAACUUCCUUAGCGACCAUUGACGAAGAUUCCUAUAUUUCAACUAAUUCAAUACCGUAUUCAAAUCAAGCUCUAUAAUCAAAGGAAGUUGCACCUUAUGAAACAAAUUUGAAAACAUCUCUAUUGCUACUUUUAUAGCCAUCAGUACUACCAUUUCCAAACCCUCCACUGCACAGUUACCUGAAAAAGAGCUGAAACAACCCCUUUCUCGUCCCGCAACACCCCUCCGCAGCCCGCUCUUUCAUCCAAAGAAACCCCAGCCACAUUAAAUUUCAUCCAACCGCAAGGAGGUGGUUCCCUAUCCAUAACCCGCACAUUCCCCACCCUUUUUAACCGGACUGCUCUUCCUUGGCCACCCCCACCAAUCACUCUCUGUGAAAAUACAUUCCUCAUAGACCACUCUUGCCCAUACAAACGAUCUCAAUUUUGUUUGGUAAAUUAACAAGUCAAGUGUUGUAGCCUUACCUUCAAACACUUUCUCAUUACGAGAAAUCCAUCCUGACCAACAUGCUGCUGAUACUGCCAGUAACCAUAGACUUUUUUGAAUGCCAGACAAAGACACUCUCCAGCACAAGGAAAAGAAUUCCUCAAAGUUUGCUACGACGUCCUUCCAUCUCAACCCCCACCAGCAAAAUAUACACGACCAGAAUCUUUUCACAAAGGAGCAUUCAAAAAAAAGUGAUUGGUAGAUUCCGCCACUCUCUCGCACCAUGGACACCCACUAUCCGAAGAGUCGAUAAUAAUUCCUCUACUAAUAAAAAAUUCUUUCGUUGGAACACGAUUAAUCGCCAUCAUCUAUAAGAAGCUACGCUUUCUUGGUGGGACUUUCAAUUUCCAGAUUCUAUCAAACUGAAAUUCUACCGUUCCCAUCCCAUCACACAUUCACGACAUUAGUUGCACGCCCAGCUACAAACGAACCUGGCUCGGAUAGCAAAAAUGUAGGGAAAAAAUAGUCACAGAAGACUAUAGUCAAACAACGUGUAUGCAAGGAAAAUACUAAACUAGAAAAUUUAAAAAGAAAGAAAAGCUGAACUCAAAAUGACUGAAGUUGCUGUAUUAUUCACACACAAAAUGAAAUAAACGUAGGCCUAUAAAUAGCCUUUACACCAUAACAAACUAACGUAAAAAUGUGCAACACUAUUGCACGAUCAUAACAAAAAAUAGAGAAAUAAGGAAAAUAACAAACUAAGCAUAGCACAGCAAAUCUAAAUUUAGAAAAACUGACUUUGAAUCAUUCUCCAACAUCGAAAAUGGUGGAGGGUUGAAUCCAGAGUAAAGUUGACGGGAUGUGAUGUUUACGCGCCACCUCCGUAGCCCAAUGAAGGAGCAAAUAGUAGACAAUGCAAGUGAUGGGUUUACCUUCGUUUUCACUACUUGUUAUAAACUCAGAGAUGGCAUCUCUGCCUCGUCUCUUGAAUUCAGACAUGUAAUUGUCUGUGUCAUUGCCGGGUUUAAUUUCGUCGUCAUAGCUAUCCGAAAAAGGUAAAAACGAUAGGCCUUCAGCAGUGGGGGACUUUGGUCAUGCGACUGCUGGCGGAGAUGCUGGUGAUGAAAGUUACACGUACGUCGAUAGGUACAAGAUGCUUGGCGAAUUGUAAGGUCGGGUUUAUGUGGCCUUGUGCAGGAUAGGUCACUACGAUGAAAUGAGGCUGUGGCAUGAUGGUGACGGCGGCGCGUGUUGGCGCGUAAUUCGUGAAGGAAAUUAAUGGGUUUUUAUAGUGAAGAGAGGCAUUGAUAGAAGGUGACGUUUGAGCUGACGAAUUUCAAAGAUUCCUAAACCUUGUUGGACUUAUCUAGUGUUUUUUCAAUGCUUAGGUUGCAGCUUGAUGCAUGAUGCUGUUAGAGACAGUUUCAUACUACACGACUCUUGGGGGUUUGAAUUUAAUUCACGAAUUAUAAUUUAGGUUAAACUAAACCCCAACACUAAACUAGUCAGUUUAUAUUUGGUUAAACUACCUACCAAGUUAUCCAUCUAUGCCUAAACUUUCAAAAUGGUCAUUCAACUAAUUGGGUUUCAGUUUUUUAUCCAUUUCCCUUAAGCAUAGAUAAAUGCCUUACCUUUGCAUACUUGGUAGGGUUAAUUUUUAAAAAUUAUGACUAAAUUGAUACAAUAUGUAAAAUUUGAGGAAAAAAAUUGUUAUUAUCCUAAUAUUUAAACAGUCACUUCAACUUUCUAUCAAACACUUAAUGGAAAUGGACCAAAAAAAUAAAUCAGAAUAGUUAGGUGACCAUUUUGAAAGUUUUAAAAGUUGAGUGAUAAAAAAAAAAAACUUAAACAUGUUUAAUAGUAUUAAUGUGUCGAACAAUUAAAGUAUCCACUUGUCAUUGUUUUCUUGAAUAUUGUGUAUAUCAUAUAUAAUAAAGGAUUGUAUAACGCUAGCUGUCAUUUUACAUCAUACCUUUUCUUCUCCAAUAAGAGAAUGAUAAAUUAAAUUUUUUCUCUUAAAAAAAUUCAAAUUCAAAUAAAAAUGUAAUAUAAAAUCAUAAUUUCAUAUAAUCACAGUUUCAUACAAUAUUUUCUCUUAGAAUAUAUAUUUAUAAUGUAUAUAUAUAUUCCAUUUUUCAAUUGUUUCUAACUUUGUUCUUUUAGUUUGUCACAGACAAAAAUUUUGACUUCGAUAUUAUUAAUAAAAAAUUAUUAUUGUCCUUGUAGCGGAAGAAUGUGUGUGACAACGUGAUAAGUAUUUUUCCAAACAAAAUCCAAAAGGAUUUAGGGAUCUUCAAAUUCGUCAGCCCAAACGUCACCUUUUUUCAGUGCCUCUCAUCACUUAUAAAAACACUUUGAUUUCCUUUCUUAGUUACUCCAAAUCCGACGUUCGUAAAAAAAGACCAGGUGAACUACCUACGUGCCGCCGUCACCACCAUGUCACAGCCUCAUUUCCUCCUAGUGACCUUCCCUGCACAAGGCCACAUAAACCCAACCUUACAAUUUGCCAAGCAUCUUAUACGUAUUGGCGUACGUGUAACUUUCAUCACCUGCAUCUCCGCUCACCGCCGCAUGACCAAAGUCCCCACUGCUCAAGGCCUAACGUUUUUACCGUUUUCCGAUGGCUACGACGACGGUUUUCAACCCGGUGAUGACAUAGAACAUUACCUAUCUGAAUUGAGGCGACGAGGCAAAGAAG